rnacentral:siRNA from 1 species
AAUUAUUAGAUUUAUUUACCCGCC